CCCCCACCCAUGUGUGUAGGACCCUAAAGCAUCACCAUUAAAUUUGGUAUGGAUCCCUAGAAAAGUUAUCAUAUGGGUGUAGGACUUGACUUUUUUAGAGAUCCAUGCCAAGUUUAAUGGUGAUCCUUUGGGGUCCUACACACAUGGGUGGGAG
rnacentral:pre_miRNA from 1 species